AUGCUGCCAACACGUUUCCCUAGCCGCGGUGCCGACAACGGUGCGGGGCUGGAGACCCUGCUGCCAGCAGCUUCCCGCGCCGUGCUGUCGGAGUUCAUAGGCACCGCCGUGUUCGUCUUCGCCGCCGAAGGCUCCGUCUACGGCCUCUGGAAGAUGUACAAGGACACGGGCACGCUGGGGGGCCUGCUCGUGGUGGCGGUGGCGCACGCGCUCGCCCUGGCCGCGGCGGUGGCGCUGGCGAGCGACGCCUCGGGCGGGCACGUCAACCCGGCCGUCACCUUCGGCGUGCUCGUCGGCAGGCGCAUCUCCUUUGCGCGCGCCGUGCUCUACUGGGCGGCGCAGCUUCUCGGCGCGGUGCUCGCCGCCGCUCUCCUCAGGAUCAUCUCCGGCGGCGUGCGCCCCAUGGGGUUCAUGCUCGGCCACGGCAUCCACGAGCGGCACGCCCUGCUGCUCGAGGUCGUCAUGACGUUCGGGCUCAUGUACACCGUGUACGCCACGACCGUCGACCGGAACCGUGGCGGCAACGUCGGCGCCAUCGCGCCCAUCGCCAUCGGCUUCGUCCUGGGCGCCAACAUCCUCGCCGGCGGCCCCUUCGACGGCGCCGCGAUGAACCCGGCGCGGGCGUUCGGCCCGGCCCUCGUCGGCUGGACCUGGCGCCACCACUGGGUCUACUGGGUCGGGCCGCUGAUCGGCGCCGGGCUGGCCGGCGCACUGUACGAGUUUGUGAUGGCUGAACAACCCGAGGAGCCGGCGGCUGCGGCCACGCGUGGGCUGCCCGUGCCCGCCGAGGAUUACUGA
rnacentral:rRNA from 1 species